CUAGAACUUGAUUGUAUUUUUAUAUUUAGAAGUUCUGAGUCCAUUUACCUUGAAAGAACAUUUAGAACAUGUAAAGAUGAUGAUGUCACUUCUGAUGUCAUUCGAUUUUGAACGCAAGCCUAUGAAGCAGAGUAGUUUACAUGGCAAACAUUUACAUAGCUCCAAUUGGCUCUGUAAGGUGGCUAGACUUGAGACAAGGCAAAACUUGAACUUAAUUUGGGUACAGGUGUCCUUUCUAGGUCCAGGCUGAAGCAUCUGCAGCUACCAAAAGGCGAGUUUUUUCCCCAUGGUGAUGAAGCAGCAUGAGAGGUGAGCACAGAAACACGGACUGUCUCUAAAGACUCAGCUCAGAGUAAUUGUCACCUCUGCCCCCAUUCCAUUGGCCAAAGGAGGUCACAGCUAAGCCCAGCAUAAAUUCGGUGCAAAGAUACGACCUUUCCACAGCAGGAAGCACUUCAAAUUCUCAUGGCCAAAGACAAGAAUAUAUCAUUUAUUAUUGGAUGAAGUGAAGAACUUGGAACAAAAAUGCAGAUGACCACAGGUAGAUUCUUAACAUCAUUGAGAACCACACACUUCACAGAUAGAUGCUUGGGUUCCAUAUGUACAAGAAUUUGAGAUAAUGCACAAUAUAAUCUACUUAAAGCCUCAGAAACUCUCUGGACUUCUGAGUUCAAAAUGACUAGUCAGUGUUCUGAAUCCCUAGCCACCCCUUUCCUAAUCUAAACUGUAUUGACAGCUGUCAGAUGGGCCCCUAAAGCUUUAUAUUUCUGAAUUGAACACAGCUAGACCUCAAAAGGCAGGCUUUCCCUUCUCCUAAUCUUCCUUAAUGCUUGGAGAAGGUCCCUAUUUACAGUUCUUAAGCUCUGUACAUUUAAAAGAAAUCUGUUCCUUCAGGCAAGUGCUUUUGUUGUUGUUGUUGUUCAAAUACAGCUUCAGAAUGGGGUCUGUUGGGAAAAAGCCCCUUGUGGGAGCAGGCAUGGGAGGAAGACAGUGACUUAGGAGGGACUUUGUAAAUGGCUGCCUUAACAUUCUGAGCAAGAGGCAAUGGUUCCUCUAGUCCACUAAACUGUUAUCAGACACAGUUCUAUCCCAAGAUCUUAAAGAUUUAAGCAAAAAAUAAAUUAAAAGGCAGGGGGAAUAAAAGGUUUUCUUUGAAGUCUCAGAGUUGUUUGCUUCUGAAAGCAGAGUGUUGUUCUUGCCCUUCGGCAAAGCCCUCUCCCUACUGACACAUCCCUGCCUUGCUUUUCUGCCUGCUCAGAACCCGAGUGGGGUCUCACUCAGCGGUCAGUCAUCUUUGUUCUUGACUGCUUCCAGAGACCCUGCUCUUUUCAUCCCUGCUCACAGUUUCCUUCAGUUUGUUUCUUUUGAUUCCUUUAUUUGAUUCUCUUCCCUAUUGUUGAAUCCUCAGAGCUAUAUUCAGACUCUGUUUAAUGUUUUUAAAUCCACAUGCACAUUAAUUUA
rnacentral:lncRNA from 1 species